GAAAUUUAUUAAGGAAAUUGGCUCAGUCAUUGCAGCCCACAUACACUUAUUUGGCUUUUCAUUUUCUGAUGUUUGAACUGAUUGCUGAAUGUACAUUUCUGACUUUUUAUAGGGGUUUAUUAGAGGCACAUUUCUAUUGAGACAAAUAGGCUAAGUCUGUGUGUUUCAUCUGUAGUGGCAUAUAAUAAUGCACAUGUGUGCACACUGCUUUGAUAUUGCCUCCCAGAACAAAACCCAUUCCAUUCAUGGCUGAAAAAAAUGAAGAGGGCACACUGGAUGGGGAUGAACGUGUUGGCUGUGGCUCAGGGGCGUAACAAGGCUGGAGUGGGCCCAGAGGCAAAAUUUUAAAAUGGGCCCCUCGAUGAUACACACAGCUUCUCUCCCCUGCCUGAGUGAGCUAGAUUCCCUUUCAGUGGCCCCUCCCCUCUGCCUGGAGGACCGCUGGGCAAAGGAAGAGAGUUGCGCGUCCUAGAGAGCCCGCUGAGACGGAAGGCUGGCCCUGCAAGGAGGAACUUCCCGUCCCGUCUGGCUUUUCUCGCCAGCAGCACCAGCAGCAGCUUCUUGGGAGAAGAAUCCGGGAGAAGCUGGAGUUUGAAUGUGAACUAUAUGCUUGUCUGGGAAUGACAAUUACUUUCAGAAGCACCAGAAAACAUGCCUUGGCCUUGUGUGGCUAAGAGGUGGAUUCAUCACAUUCUUCUUGGCCUGGGCAGCAAAGAAGCAUUAGAGGAAGAAGAGCUUUUGGAUGUGUUGGGAGCUUAAGCUGAGCUUAGAGAGACCAUGGAUGUGCCAAGCCCAGCAAAGAGUGGAUCAGGGAAGGGAACAGAAAAAGGCCCUCCAGCCACCCAGUCUGGCAAUGAUAAGAGAUUCUGGGAAAGAACUGUGCAGAAGAUCCUGGGAGGAGGCAGCACCAGCUCAGAUGUCCAGGUCAGGAGAUUCAGACAGUUCGUUUACCAGGAAGUUGAAGGGCCCCGAGAGGUUUGCAGCCAACUCCACCACCUUUGCCAGCAGUGGCUGGAGCCAGAGAGACACACGAAAGCUCAGAUGCUGGACCUGGUGAUCCUGGAGCAGUUCCUGACCAUCCUGCCCCCGGAGAUGGAGAGCUGGGUGAGAGAAUGCAGAGCGGAGACCAGUUCGCAGGCGGUGGCCCUGGCAGAAGGUUUCCUCCUGAGCCAGGCAGAGGAGAAGAACCAGGAAGAGCAGCAGACAGAUGGGAUGUUAGCCCAAGCAGCCCCUGAGCUCCAAGAUUGCAAGAGGGCUCUGUUGGUGACCCGUCAGAAGCUGCUUUUCAGAGGGAUCAUGCAGGAGAAUGAUGGAGGCCCCAUUGUGCUAGGAAGGGUUGAUCACUGCCGCCUGCAGUGCAAUACGAGGUGACGUCCUUCAGCAUCUUCCUAUCUCGCUGCUGCCCGAUAGAGGUGUAUCCCAUAGUCUGGGAAACAUACCAGUUGGAUUCGAACUAGCAACAUCAUGCUUGCUAGGCCAGUCAUUCCUGCUGCACCAUUGACUUGGGCGGUGAAAUGACUCUGGCGACUCCUCCUGGACCUUCUCUUCUUGGUGGUGGAGUGGAAACUGUUGCUGUGCACUCACCAGAUCAGGUAGGAGAAGAAUCCCUGGUUGGGUAGGAGGAGAAGCAGACCUCGCCUCUCUCUGGACCCCACUGAGCCUCAGUCAAAGGUGCUCCCUUCUGUCUCUGAAAGCCACAGAGGAAAUGUUGGGUCCUCCAGGAGAACCUUGAGCCUCCCCCUUUCUGGCAAGACUGAUGGAGAUACAGUGAGGUGGUUCUCAGGACCAGCCCUUCCUGGGUAAGGCAGUGCUAGCCCGGGAAAGGCUGGUGGUGAGAACCACUGUGAUGGCUCCCGAUCCCGGUGCUCUUCUUCCAGGUAGCCUGCCUUGGAAACCCCGGCUAAGAGUGAGGUAGGAGGUCACGUGCACACUUCCUCCCUCACUGCCCAGUUGUAUGUCCCAUUGGGAUUCUAAAAAUGGCCGCCGGGAGUGGUGACCAUAGAGCCCUGACUGCUGAGCAGCCAGGGAGAGGAGCCCUUCUGCUUUGUAGCAGGCUGCCUUUCCACUGCCCACACAGGGCAUUGUGGGAUGAGGGAGGACUUCCUCCUUCCAAUCCCACCUCAGGGAACUAAUGCAGUGUCACUCCAGUGAGCAAGUGACCAUUGGCACCCUGGCCCAAAUCCGCUUUUGGUGGGGAGGGUAAGUUGAUCCUGCCUUCCCGUUCAGCUCUCCCCAGCUUAAGUGCCUUGGGUCACGUGUCCAACCUUCAUGUUGGAUUGCCCU